GAGACGCUGGCGAAAGCAUCGGGUCUUGGGACGUUUGAGUGGCAUGGGUUACCGCGCGAUCUACAUUGAGACAAGGAAGUUGGAAAAGCCGAGUAGUUAUACUAGAAGAUCAGGGUCUCACAGACUCGCAACUUCUCUUCCAUUUUCCCCAAUGGCGCAUGUCUUACAAAAACCCAAGCACUCUGGGACUCACUCCACAGUCCAGGAGUUCCAGGUUCCGGAUUGUGUUCCAUGGCAGCAGUCCAAGCAGGAAACCAAGCCAUCUACUCUGCCUCCAGUCCAACAAGCCAACAGCCUUCAUACAAGCAAAAUGAAGACUUUGACUAGGGUCCAACCAGUGUUUCACUCCAAGCCCACUAUGGUGGUGACAAGCUGCCAGCCGAAGAAUCCAAGAGAACUACAUAGAAGGCGGAAGUUGGACCCUGGGAAGAUGCAUGCCAAAAUCUGGUUAAUGAAGACGAUGCUCAGGAACGGGAGGACCGCUCUGCGAGAGCUCCAAAGCCAUGAGAACUUCCUCACCAAGCUCAACGAGGAGCUGAUUGAGACCAUCCAGGACAUGGAGAACAGCACGACCCUGAACGUGCGGGCCCUGUUGCACCAGCAGGACAUCUUGGCGACCAUCAUCGACAUCUUGGAGUAUUCAAACAAGAAGAGGCUGCAGCAAUUGAAGUCUGAGCUUCAGGAGUGGGAAGAAAAGAAGAAAUGCAAGAUGAGCCGUCUAGAGCAGCAGGCAGAGCAGCUGAAUGCCAAGAUUGAGAAGACCCAGGAGGAAGUGAACUUCCUGAGCACUUACAUGGACCAUGAGUAUUCCAUCAAGUCUGUCCAGAUCUCCACCCUUAUGCGCCAGCUGCAGCAGGUUAAGGACAGCCAGCAGGAUGAGCUGGAUGACCUCAGUGAGAUGCGCAGAAAGGUCCUGGAGUCCUUGUCCGACAAGAUUCAGAAGAAGAAGAAAAAAAUUCUGAGUUCUGUGGUGGCAGAAACCCAGCGUCCCUAUGAAGAGGCUCUCCUACAGAAGAUGUGGGAAAGCCAGGACUUCCUGAAAUGCAUGCAAAGGUUCAGAGAAUUUAUUGACCAGUUUGAGGAGAACAUGUCCGUAUUAAGGGCCGAGGUGGAAGAGCUCCAAGCCCAGACCCGGGAAGCCCGAGAGGUCAUAUUUGAGGAUGUUCUGCUUCGGAGACCCAAAGUUUGGCUCUUUUCGUCAACAAUAAUUUGGUGCCCAAACACGUGAGGCCUCAGAGAAGACUCAGGACCCAAAAGGAGUUGCCUAAAACCAGAGCUAAGGUACCAGCAGGGGCCCAUUGAAGCUUGGAGCUUCUCCUCUGGUGGAACUGCAACAUGGAUAGAACUGGAGGCCAUUAUCUUAAGUGAAGCAAGUCAGACACAGAAAGAUAAGUACCAUAUAUUCUCACUUAUUUUAUUUAUUUAUUUAUUUUGAGAUGGAGUCUCACUCUGUUGCCCAGGCUGGAGUGCAGUGGGGCAAUCUUGGCUCGCUGAAACCUCAACCUUCCGGGUUCAAGAGAUUCUCCUGCCUCAGCCUCCUGAGUAGCUGGGAUUACAGGUGUCCACUACCAUGCUCAGCUACUUUUUGUAUUUUUAGUAGAGAUGGGGUUUCACCAUGUUGGCCAGGCUGGUUUUGAACUCCAGACCUCAAGGGAUCUGUCCACCUUGGCCUCCCAAAGUGCUGGGAUUACAGGCAUGAGCCACUGCGCUGCCCAAUUUAUCACUUUUAGAGAGGCAAUGUGAUAAUUUUGGAACCAUCACGGACAUUCGUAGUAGGUGGGGGAAGAACCCUCUCCUGCCCUGCUCAGGCCUGUCUAAUUACCUGUUGCGUGUGUGUGUGUGUGUGUGUGUGCGUGUGUGUGUGUGUGUGUGUGUGUGUGUGGUUGGGGAUGUGUUUGCUAUUGUGGGGGAAAUAUAAUUAAAAACAAAAUCUUCUCUCAACGUAGAAAACCUCUCCACAAAGGUAGAAGAGAAAGAAAACAAUUGCCAUUGAAUAAGCAUUGAACCAGAAUGUGAGGCACAUCACAGGCAAUUCACAAAGAGUUUGCAAAGACAGAAAGAAAUCCUGCUUGUUUAUAACCUGAAGAAGAUAAAACCCAUUACAGAUAUGCUCUCAAGACAAACAAUAACUGGUUCUCAAAUAGGAGAACUUAGAAGUACCAUUUGACAUACACAUAGUUCAUCCUAGAUUCACCUGAUAAUUGGAGUGGCCAUCUGUGUUUGCUAGUUGGCUUUAACC